UACGUAGGUGGCGAGCGUUAUCCGGAAUUACUGGGUGUAAAGGGAGCGUAGACGGCGAAGUAAGCCUGAAGUGGAAGCCCGCGGCCCAACCGCGGAACUGCUUUGGGAACUGCUUAGCUGGAGUAUGGGAGGGGUAAGCGGAAUUCCUGGUGUAGCGGUGAAAUGCGUAGAUAUCAGGAGGAACACCGGUGGCGAAGGCGGCUUACUGGACCAUGACUGACGUUGAGGCUCGAAAGCGUGGGGAGCGAACAGG
rnacentral:rRNA from 1 species